ACAUGCAGAGAACUUACCAGAGAUGGAUUGGUUGCCUUCGGGAACGUCUGACACAGGUGCUGCAUGGCUGUCGUCAGCUCGUGUCGUGAGAUGUUGGGUUAAGUCCGUAACGAGCGCAACCCUUGUCCUUAGUUACCAGCACGUUAUGGUGGGCACUCUAAAGGGACUGCCGGUGUUAAACCGGAGGAAGGUGGGGGAUGACGUCAAGUCCUCAUGGCCUUUAUGACCAGGGCUACACACGUACUACAAUGGCCGAUACAAAGGGCAGCGACACUGCGAGGUGAAGCCAAUCCCGUAAAAUCGGUCUCAGUCCGGAUUGGAGUCUGCAACUCGACUCCAUGAAGUUGGAAUCGCUAGUAAUCGUGGACCAGCAUGCCACGAUGAAUACGUUCCCGGGCCUU
rnacentral:rRNA from 1 species